CCCUUAGAUGUCCUGGGCCGCACGCGCGCUACACUGAUACAUUCAACGAGUUUACCUUGGCCGAGAGGCCUGGGCAACCUUUUAAACGUGCAUCGUGAUAGGGAUAGAUUAUUGCAAUUAUUAAUCUUGAACGAGGAAUUCCUAGUAAACGCAAAUCAUCAAUUUGCAUUGAUUACGUCCCUGCCCUUUGUACACACCGCCCGUCGCUACUACCGAUUGAAUGGUUUAGUGAGAUCUUCGGAUUGGCGCCACUGCAGCUCAGCAAUGGGCUUGGUGGAUGCCGAAAAGUUGAUCAAACUUGAUCAUUUAGAGGAAGUAAAAGUCGUAACA
rnacentral:rRNA from 1 species